rnacentral:lncRNA from 1 species
AUGCUGGGUCAUCAAGGAGCUUUGCCUACCAAGACAGACGAGAUCCGCUGCAUGGAAUGUGGCCAAGUCUUUGCAAGCAUUGAGGAAUUAAAGAAGCACGGAAGCACUCACCAGAGGGUCCUAAAAUGUGCUGAAUGUGGGAUGGGUUUCCGCUCGUCACUCAUGCUUAUGUCACACAUGGGAGGGCAUGCGGGACAGCGGCCGUGUUUCUGCCAGGACUGUGGCCUGGGCUUCCCACAUCAACAGGGUUAUGACAGCCAUCUGAAGACAUGUGGAGUGGUGACACCACCAGUGGCUGCUGUGAAAAAACCCAAACCAAAAGCAACUCCCUCUUCACAAAUAAUAAAACAAAUUACUCCUAACAUAUUCAUCCAAACUGUUGCUCAGGGCUCAGCACCUGCCACAUUCCACAGUAGCUUGAAGGAAGUCCACAUGGUUCCAUUUGGUGACAAGAAUAAGCCUGCUGAUGGUAGGUGGAAGUUCACUUUAAAUAAAGAGCCUCCUCCAGGUAUGCCUUUAGUCAUGCUUCUGCCAGUUCCCACUACACAGUUCUCAACUACCUCAGUUCCUACCAAGAGCUCCCAAAACUUUCUACCAUCCUCUUUGGUCUUAGAAACAUCUGCUCCACGUGUCGUUUCCAUGCCGGUGAUCCCGUCUGGCAAAGAGGUAGAGAAAGACACUGUAGAGCCCAGCAGAACCAACAUUCCUUCAAACACACUCAUUCCUGUGCAAAGUCAUGACAGUAUCUCUCAGAAGAGGUGGACCGUUUUAGAAGACCAGGGUUCUGUUCAAGUGUUUGCUACAGAAAAUGUAAAGGCAGGGGAACAGGCUGCAGGUGUGGCAGUAGCAAAUCAGGGAAUGAACGUUACUGCUCAAGUAGAAGUAGAGAAUAAGCAGGAAACUCAAUCAAAUUUGAAGCCUAAUGCACUGGUUGAUGAAAAAACAGUUCCAGGGAGUUCAUCAGAAAAUGCAUCUCUCAGUCCCACCUGCCCCAUGAAACCAUUAUGUCUAAUAAAGUUCACGGAGGAGAAGAAUGGUGGUGGUGACAACAUCAAGAAAAGCUCUUCAGAUUUGAAGGAACUUGACUCCUCGCCUGUAAUGGCAGGAGUAGAAGUUUUAAAGAGAAAACCGGAAAAGCAAAUGCUGGAUUCUUCACAAACAGGCUCUCAUGAUUUAGUCUCUUGUUCUUCAGAAAUUACUUACCAGAAAAAGGCCAGUGAAGAUGAAAGAUUAUUCAAAGAAGAUGUGUCAUCUGACAGGAUGUGUGCAGAGUCACAAAUUGAAUAUACUGUGACGGGGGACAAAUCAGAAAACUGUCCGCAGGGGCAAAACGAAUCUGGUUUUGAUGUAGAGGUUGAAGUUAAUGAAGAUGUGGAAUCGAGCAGCAUGGAAGUGGAGAUUGGGGAUGAAGACAGCGGAGUGGAUAUGUUGGAAGGUGAGCUCCAUGAAUGUGUGACCUGUGGACAAGUCCUUCCUGAAAAGGGUAUGAUCCAGCACUACAUGAAGCAUGCGGCCGACACCGACAGUCCUGAGAACUGUGCCUCUCACACUACAGAACGAUCCCCUACAUGUAGUCCAUCAAGAAAAAGACUACGAUCUGGCACAGAGUUGUGACCCUUAGUUCAAGAGUAUUUCAGUUUUUUAAUUACUAUUAUUUUAAAUUGAUUUGCAGUUAUUGAUAUAACACAGACUUUACUUCCAUUCCGUUUACUUGGAAAACAGGGGUCACUGUCCUUUUUACCAGAUUGAAAUUUGGGAAAGAUUGGUGUUUGUUUAAACCAAGUGUGUUUUGAAUGUGUUCCACUUUUGACUUUUCUUUCACAGUAUCUUUCUGUUUACAUUGUCUUCUAGAUACAAUAAAUGUAGAUUGGAAAUUGGGAAAAACCCUUUCUUUUUGUUUUAUGUAUAUUCAGAUUUAGCUUUUAGUUUAAGACGAUUGUGACUUUGUGUACUAAAAAUAAAAGUUUUCUUUUUUUCAAAAUAAGCAAAUAUUUUAAGCCACAUAAGUGGCACCACUACAGCAAUUUUCAGUGCCAUUUCAAUAAAAUAUAAGAUACUAGGAAUAUCAGCAAAACAAUAACAUAUUAGAAGAAAUUAAUUUAAAAAAAAAGUGCAUUUCUUUAUCUCACAGAUGUUGGAUAUAAUGAACCAUGUCUGUUUACUGAAUGUAUAAGCAUUUGCUCAUAAAGUUUCAUUUUUUUUUGGUCAGGAGGUGUUAAGAACAGAAACCAUUUGUUAAGGGAAGAUGUGAGCUGGCUACAAUUCCUUUUUUUUUUUUUUUUGUAUUACAGAAAUGUGUUUCGGUACAUCUGACACUUCUUUCUUUAACUAUUGGGUGUAUGCAAAAUAAUUCAGCUUGGCUCGUCAUAUCAUAGAAUCAUGAUAUCAUACUGUUUUGGUGAUUCAUUGGAAUUAAUAUUGUACUGGUAAAAACAGAGCUUAAUGUGAAAUUCAGUUUUUCUUAAAUAAAAAAUUAAGGUCAUAUUUGUUAUUGAGAACACUGAUCGUUAUUACUCAAAGUGAAAUUUUUGGAUAAUCGACAGUGCUGUAUAUAUCAAGUCUUUGACCCAUAAAGGUCUCAUAAAUAUUAAUUUGAGAGGCGCACAGAGGCUACUACACUAACUUCCAUGACUCAUAAAGGGAAACUUUAAACCGAGUAGGCGGAAGCAGGUUAACCGAUGAGGAGCAUCUUCAUUAAAUGUUGACGUGAAUCGCUGCAUAGCACUUCAUUG